UACGUAGGGUGCGAGCGUUAAUCGGAAUUACUGGGCGUAAAGUGUGCGCAGGCGGCGUUGCAAGUCGAGUGUGAAAUCCCCGAGCUUAACUUGGGAAUUGCGCUCGAAACUACGAUGCUAGAGUGUGGCAGAGGAAGGUGGAAUUCCACGUGUAGCGGUGAAAUGCGUAGAGGAUGUGGAGGAACACCGAUGGCGAAGGGCAGCCUUCUGGGCCAACACAUGACGCCUCAUGCACGAAAGCGUGGGGAGCAAACAGG
rnacentral:rRNA from 1 species